rnacentral:rRNA from 1 species
AUUAGUGAAUUUAGAGAUACCACUCUGUGGAUCUCAACCCUCACCAUUAUCCACAAACACCUGUGCACUGUCGGUUAGAUGGAGGCUGUCUACACAGCCUUUUCAUCUGCCGGCGCCAAAUUACACAAACUCUGAGUUUAUUGAAUGUGAAGUUAUACUUGUCAAUUUUGACAGAAUUAAACAUAACUUUCGACAACGGAUCUCUUGGUUCUCCCAUCGAUGAAGAACGCAGCGAAACGCGAUAGGUAAUGUGAAUUGCAGAAUUCAGUGAAUCAUCGAAUCUUUGAACGCACCUUGCGCUCCUUGGUAUUCCGAGGAGCAUGCCUGUUUGAGUGUCAUGAAUCCCUCAAAUCCCAAUGUUUUGUAAAAUUCAUUGCUUGGAUUUGGUUGUGGGCCUUCUUGCUGUUGCAAUAUACAGCUGGCCUAAAAGAGAUUAGCUGGACUAUCCGACUCUUGGUAGUUUCCACUUGAUGUGAUAAAAUUGCAUCGGUGGGUCAAAGACUGCUAUAGGAAUGUGAAAGUCUGCUUCAAAUUCGGCGCGAGGUUCCAUCCUCAACCCAUUCAUUUACAUCUCUGGCCUCAAAUCAGGUAGGAUUACCCGCUGAACUUAAGCAUAUCAA